rnacentral:rRNA from 1 species
CCUACGGGGGGCAGCAGUGGGGAAUAUUGGACAAUGGGGGCAACCCUGAUCCAGCCAUGCCGCGUGUGUGAAGAAGGCCCUCGGGUUGUAAAGCACUUUCAGUGAGGAAGAACGCCUGGUGGUUAAUACCCAUCAGGAAAGACAUCACUCACAGAAGAAGCACCGGCUAACUCCGUGCCAGCAGCCGCGGUAAUACGGAGGGUGCGAGCGUUAAUCGGAAUUACUGGGCGUAAAGCGCGCGUAGGUGGCUUGAUAAGCCGGUUGUGAAAGCCCCGGGCUCAACCUGGGAACGGCAUCCGGAACUGUCAAGCUAGAGUGCAGGAGAGGAAGGUAGAAUUCCCGGUGUAGCGGUGAAAUGCGUAGAGGUCGGGAGGAAUACCAGUGGCGAAGGCGGCCUUCUGGACUGACACUGACACUGAGGUGCGAAAGCGUGGGUAGCAAACAGGAUUAGAUACCCCGGUAGUC